rnacentral:rRNA from 1 species
GACGAACGCUGGCGGCGUGCUUAACACAUGCAAGUCGAACGGAAAGGCCCUGCUUUUGUGGGGUGCUCGAGUGGCGAACGGGUGAGUAACACGUGAGUAACCUGCCCUUGACUUUGGGAUAACUUCAGGAAACUGGGGCUAAUACCGGAUAGGAGCUCCUGCUGCAUGGUGGGGGUUGGAAAGUUUCGGCGGUUGGGGAUGGACUCGCGGCUUAUCAGCUUGUUGGGGGGGUAGUGGCUUACCAAGGCUUUGACGGGUAGCCGGCCUGAGAGGGUGACCGGCGACAUUGGGACUGAGGUACGGCCCAGACUGCUACGGGAGGCAGCGGUGGGGAAUAUUGCACAAUGGGCGGAAGCCUGAUGCAGCAACGCCGCGUGCGGGAUGACGGCCUUCGGGUUGUAAACCGCUUUCGCCUGUGACGAAGCGUGAGUGACGGUAAUGGGUAAAGAAGCACCGGCUAACUACGUG